GGAUUCCAUCAAAGCAUUUCCUGGAAGAAAGAAAACAUGGCGUGAAUUCUCCACAAGUGUUGACAAUUCUGUAGAAGAGGGAUAAAAGAGUUUUUGGACUUCCAUGGAACUAACCUGUGUCACCUGAGAGUGGAGGAGGCGACAGACCGCCCCUUAUGAAACAAUCAUUUUUGUCUCCUCCCCAGUGGCUUAAAAGGAGAGCACAUACAGGCAGACAAUAUUACAAGACUUUUCUCUCUCACACACAUUCACAGAUAAAGUUUAGGCAUCGAAUACUUGGUUCCUGGGCUGUAAACCUCCCAACUUCCUGAUCCAAAGGACAGAUCUAGGAUCAGCUCACCAUCGUCAAAUCCAAACCAGGACCUUAAUAAACCACAAAGUGGAAAAAUGACCUGAGACCAGCAUUUAAACCCCACAUCUUCCUACCCAGACACUGCUCUCCAUCCAGAGUCCCUCCUGUGCUCCAGCUGUCCAUCCGUCUAUCCACACCCCAGCCAACCAGCCAUGGGUCUGAUGAGUGAAGACAUGAAUUGUUGCGUCUGCUUCCAACCCUAUUCUCGCAGGGAGAAAAUACCUCGGGUGCUCCACUGCGAACACACCUUCUGUGGGCCGUGCUUGGAGGCAAUCUCCAGGAUCCAGAGUGGCAUCCUGACCGCGUGCUGCCCUCUGUGUCGCUGGAUCACCUGUUGCCAGGUCAGCCUACCCUUUUCUGGUUCUCUGGUUGUCAAUACUGAGAUCUGGGACCAGAUAGCAGACAGACAGGAGGAAGAGGAGGAGAUGGAGGCAUGGAUAGGAGAUAACAGACAGACACAGACCUCCACACAGUACAAAUGCUCUUCAUUGGGGCAUUCUGGUGUGAGGAUCAAGCUCCAGAGUUUCUGGAGGAGAGUGAGACAAAAUGGUCAGAGAGCACUAAAAGAAGGGAAGAAAUUAAGGUCUUGGUUGUGUUUUGAUAGAUGAUGUCACCGUGUUAAAAUAAAGUUUACAUAUUUGUUUUUAUUAUAAAGAUUGUAGACAGUAUAUUGUAUAAAAUAUAAAAAUAAAUACUGAAAAAGAAAAACAUUGGUAUCCCAACUGCUGCUUCCUGUCCUGGACUACUACAUGUAGCUAUUUUAAGAACUCGUGUUUCUUUUUUCAAAUGAACCCUGUAAUAUGAUUGUCCCUUUAUGUCUGAAGUGCAUGUUUUUUGUACUCAAGUGAUAUUUAUUGCUAUCAUUGUAAAAUAAAUUAAUCUGCUUUA